AAGUGAAAAAGGCCCUUUCUAAACAAGAGAUGCAGUCUGCUGGAUCACAGAGAGGUGAGUAGGACCAUACACAUGUAUACAGUGGAUAUGAGUGGUGUUUGUAAGGUUCUUAAAAAUCUCCCUUGCCUGUAUUAAAGGUCGUGGAGGUGGAUCUGGCAAUUUUAUGGGUCGCGGAGGGAACUUUGGAGGUGGUGGAGGUAAUUUUGGCCGUGGUGGAAACUUUGGUGGAAGAGUGGUGGAUAUGGUAGCAGAAGGUUCUAAAAACAGCAGAAAAGGGUAGGUAUCUUUAAAUUUUUAUUAUGAUGAUAAAAGAAUAUGUGGAACUGUUCACUGAGUGUAAUAAUUUUUUUAUCCUGUAUUAUUCAACAGGCUACAGUUCUUAGCAGGAGAGAGAGCGAGGAGUUGUCAGGAAAGCUGCAGGUUACUUUGAGACAGUCGUCCCAAAUGCAUUAGAGGAACUGUAAAAAUCUGCCACAGAAGGAACGAUGAUCCAUAGUCAGAAAAGUUACUGCAGCUUAAACAGGAAACCCUUCUUGUUCAGGACUGUCAUAGCCACAGUUUGCAAAAAGUGCAGCUAUUGAUUAAUGCAAUGUAGUGUCAAUUAGAUGUACAUUCCUGAGGUCUUUUAUCUGUUGUAGCUUUGUCUUUUUCUUUUUCUUUUCAUUACAUCAGGUAUAUUGCCCUGUAAAUUGUGGUAGUGGUACCAGGAAU
rnacentral:lncRNA from 1 species